GACGAACCGUGCGAACGUUAUUCGGAAUCACUGGGCUUAAAGCGCGUGUAGGCGGGACGGCACGGCGGUCGCUGAAAGCCCCCGGCUCAACCGGGGAACGGGCGCCGAUACGACCGUCCUGGAGGGACGUAGGGGGACCUGGAACUUCCGGUGGAGCGGUGAAAUGCGUUGAGAUCGGAAAGGACACCAACGGCGAAAGCACUCUGCUGGGCCGACACUGACACUGAGAGACGAAAGCUAGGGGAGCAAAUGGG
rnacentral:rRNA from 1 species